CUAGGGCCGCACCUGCAACAUGCGGAGCCCAAUAAAUGGCAAAAAGACAAAAAAAGGACACAGUGGGAGUAAAGUUUUAUCAAGUUAGAGAACAAAGGUGGGGAACCAGCUUACAGGAUUCAUGAUUCAAAUCUUGGCUUUUCCAAUUGGGAAAUUUAAACAGAUAGGUAUUAGAUGAUAUCAAAGGAUUUUUUUAUAUGCAAUAAUAGGUAUUUUAAAUUAUUUUAAGUCCUUAGCUAUUAGAGAUACAUACAAAAGUAUUUAUGUGUGAAAUAAUUAAGAUGUUUGAGAUUUGCUUUAAAGAAUUCCAGCAACAAGUAAAUAAACGGCAUGUGUAAUGGGGAAGAAAAAUGAACCAAGAGUGGGAAUAAACUGAUCAUUGAUUACUGGCUGAUAGGUAAGCAGUGGUUCAUUACAUUAUUUUCUUAAAAGAAGUCUAGGAUGCUUAUUAUCAGAAAGAGUUAAGUAAAAGGCUUAGGUAACACACAUCACAGAAGCAGGAAUGUUCAAUUAGUUGGAAGGAUUUCUCUUCCCCAAUGAUAGAUUCAAUAUUACUACUAUGCAAAUACAAGUAAAAUUCAAGCAACUUCCAACUACCACACAAUGAGCCACAGAAUUGAGAAUUUCCAAUUCCUAACUCUAAGUUAAGCUUUUGAUAAAUCACUAUAUGGUUAUACAAUGAAUUUAAGAUGACCUCAAUGUUACUUAUCCCUUAUCUUUUUUUAAAAAAAUUUUUUUGGCUUCAUCCACACCGUGAGGAAGUUCCUGGGCCAGGGAUUAAACCUGCACCAUAGUGCUAACCAGAGCUACAGUGGUGACAAUACCAGAUUCUUAAACCAAUAAGCCACCAGGGAAUUCCUUUCCCUUAUCUUUAUAUCAAGUAAAAUAAUGAUUUUGGAGCUAUACACAGAUACACAUACAUAUGUCUAUAUUUUUGCACUUGUAAAAAGUGAUAUUUACUUAACUAUAUCAUUGACAUAGUUAAACUUGGUCAUAGAACCCACAAGACUCAGCAAAGGAAAAUGACAACUAAUUUCAAAGAAGCAGUAGAGGAGAAAGGACCAGAAUGAGUGAAGAAUUAGAAGACCUAGGUAAUUAUACUGGCAACUAUUACUAUGUGAAUUCAGGCAAGUCAUUCAAUGCUUGAGUGCCAGUUUCAUCAUCUGUGCUAUGACUGGAUUCUAUUACAUGCCAAGUUUCCUGCAGUUCUAACUUCCUAGAGGCUGGAAUCUGUCUUUUCUGCUUCUACACCUGUUCAGGAACCUAGUGCUCAUCACAGAUGAUACCUCCAAUUUUAGGAAGGCUCCAGGUCUCCACACAUCUGACUGAUGGAGCAGCAAAGAGAAGUCUAUUUCUAGCCAUUCUCAUCAAAUCUUGCAAACAAGCAGGGAGUCUUGGAGUUAUAUCCCAGUCAUGGGCAAGGGAUUAUGCCCAGGGAAGAGUUAACAGCAGGUUCAGUUCCAUAACAGAGUUGUCGUGGGGUCUUAGGGACCCCAAUAAGGACACCAGAUCCCUGGUAGCGAUGGAGGAGAUAGGCAGAUGGGCAGAUGCUGCUGAUUAACCUGCAAGCCCAGCUCUCCCAUGGUGGGCUAGGUGUCCCCACCUAGUGUUCCCAUCCUCCCUGUGAAUAAAUCUCUGUGCACUUGCUGUACUGACUUAUAAUUAGCUCUGUGACCUGUUGGGACAGCGUGGCUUUCUGAUUCAUGGUGCAUGUCUGGCAUUCCUGACUCGUGCUUGUUGAAGGAGUAAUGCUAACACAGGAUGCCAUGGCGCACGUGAGCAUAACUAGCUCAUGGAGAAGAUCUAAAGUGGCUAUAAAUUUAAUUUAAUUUAAUUUAAUUUAAUUUUAAUUUUUAGGGCUGCAUCCGCAGCAUAUGGAGGUUCCCGGGCUAGGGGUCCAAUUGGAGCUAUAGCUGCCGGUCUAUGCCACAGCCAUAGCAAUGCAGGAUCCAAGCCACAUCUGUGACUCACACCACAGCUCACAGCAAUGCCGGAUCCUUAACCUACUGAGCAAGGCCAGGGUUAGAACCUGCCUCCUCCAUGGAUGCUAGUCAGAUUCGUUUCCAUUGAGCCACAACGGAACUCCUUUUUUUUUUUUUUUUUUUUUUUUUUUUUUUGAUCAAGUCUUAGAAACAUA
rnacentral:lncRNA from 1 species